UCAGGGGAAGCCGAAAACCUGUCUUUAGAGUAGGUA
rfam:Cloacibacterium normanense strain NRS-1 CloNor.contig.108_1, whole genome shotgun sequence.